rnacentral:rRNA from 1 species
AGCAGUCGCCGCGGUAAUACAGAGGUCUCAAGCGUUGUUCGGAUUCAUUGGGCGUAAAGGGUGCGUAGGGGGUGAGUUAAGUCUGCUGUGGAAUCCCCGGGCUCAACCUGGGAAUGGCAGUGGAUACUGGCUCGCUAGAGUGUGUCAGAGGAUGGUGGAAUUCCCGGUGUAGCGGUGAAAUGCGUAGAGAUCGGGAGGAACAUCAGUGGCGAAGGCGGCCAUCUGGGACAACACUGACGCUCAGGUGCGAAAGCGUGGGGAGCAAACAGGAUUAGAUACCCCGGUAGUCCCUGUCUCUUAUAC